AUACUUACCUGGCAGGGGAAGUACUAUGAUCUCGAAGGUGGAUUUUCCAGGGUGAGGCUUAUCCAUUGCACUCUGGAUGCGCUGUCCCCUGAGAUUUCCCCAAAUGUGGGAAACUCAGCUGCAUAAUUCAUGGUAGUGGGGGACUGCUUGCACACUCUGCCCUG